AGUAAUGUAUGGGGAUCUACUCGAUGGCGGGGGGAUAACUACUGGAAACGGUAGCUAAUACCGCAUAAUGUCUGCGGACCAAAGCGGGGGACCUCCGGGCCUCGCGCCAUCAGAUGAACCCAUAUGGGAUUAGCUUGUAGGUAAGGUAACGGCUUACCUAGGCGACGAUCCCUAGCUGGUCUGAGAGGAUGAUCAGCCACACUGGGACUGAGACACGGCCCAG
rnacentral:rRNA from 1 species